AGCAGCCCAUCUGCAGCAAGUGAGUGGUGCUGGGGUGCUGGGGAGGACCGUCCUGGCCAGCAGGGGCCUCACAGUCUAGUAAUAAGGACACAGCAAUUACAGGAACUUCUAGAGCCAGUUCUCUUCAGGAGCAUGCCAGGCUGAAGCUUUGUCCUAUGGAGAAGCAGAAAAGGUCAGAGGAGGAGAAAGAAAGAGCCCUUCCCGGUCAAGGAGCCAGCCAGGGAGGGAGACAAAAGGAAGGAGGCUCCAUGGAGAUGCAAUGUGAUUAGCUGGCCUUCUGCUCUGACCACCGUGACUUCCCUGCCUGAAACCAUGUCUUCCCCUCCAUGAUACAAGUCACAAGAUGAAAUAAAUCCUUCCUUCCCUAAAAUGGGUAUUUUUGUCUCAUCAACAAGAAAGUUAACUUAUGUAAAGCUGGCUCUAGGGAAGUCAUUAGGAUUUGAUGAGGUCAUGAGACUAAGGUCCUGGUGAUGGUAGUAGUGGCUUUUGUAGAAGGAAAGGAGGAGGAGAAGGAGAAGGAAGAAGAGGAGGAGGAGGAGGAAAAGGAAGAGGAAAAGGAAGAGGAGGAGGAAGAGGAGGAGGAGGAGGAAAAGGAAGAGGAGGAGGAAGAGGAGGAGGAAGAGGAGGAGGAUCCAUGCUGUCUCACCACAUUGCCCCCUGGUUAUACUAUGAUGUUUCAGAUGAGUCUUCAUCAGAUGCCAGGCAGAGCUGGCACCAUGCUUGGGCUUUCAGCCUCCAGAAAAAUAGCAAAAGAAAUUUCUAUUCUGUUCUCUUUUCCAGAAAAACAAGCAACAACAAUAAAACCCCACAUUUGUUCUAAAGCAAUGAUAGAUAAAGAGAAACCUCUUCUUUUCAUAAUGACAACAGAUAAACACAGAAAGAAUAUGGAGUUCUUUUAAAAAAUAAAAUCACAAAUUUGCCAACAUUCUAAUAAAAGUUAUUAAGAUACAGGAUCAUCAAAUGAUACUAAAUCUAGGAAGGGCAGGUGUGAGGAGCUACAGAAUUGUCAAGACAAUAUCAGCAUUUCUUAUAAAACAGUAACUGGGAGAAAUAGUAACUAGACAAUGCAGAAAAUAGACAACCUCUUUUCUGUGUGAUGGAAAUUAACACCAAUAACAAGGACUAUUCUGCUCAUCUGAGCUUGGUACCCAGGGUUGCAUCACUUAAUAGUAUUCUCACCCACACCACACAAUCCAAAUCUACCCACGAGGAAACAUCAGGAAACUCCAGUGAAGCUGAUCGUCUUCAAAGACAUCAAUACAACAAAAGACUGGAAAGGGCAGAGGAAUGGCUCCAGAUCAGCAUCAUGACAGCACAAUCUACAAUCCCAGACUGGAUCCCGCCUCUGAGAAAUUACCAGCAGAGCAAAUGAAAUCGGAAUAGAGACUGCAGAUCAGAUGAAAGUCCCGUCUGAAUGGGAGACUGCAGGAUUUAUAUGCUUCAGUGAGACUGUGUGCUUGCUCUUGUGAAGUGCGUGUAUAGUAUUAAAGUGUGGAGGGCUGGGUAUCUGUACUAUCUCUCAAAUGAGUUAUAUAGAAAGGUUAUAUAUCAAGGAAUAGAAAGUUAUAAAGCAAACACAGGAAUCAUCAUCAAAAAAAAAAGAAGAUAACAUGUGUAGCAAUGAAUGUUUUCUUUUCUUUAAUUUUCUCCCAAACAAGCAUAUCCACACUGACAUUGCAGUACCAAUGAAGACCUGCAUAGGAGGGCCUGAGUCUGCUCAUUGGACCAACUUGUGAGAGGAAAGUAUUCAGGGGCACCUCUGAAGAUAGCUGUAUGAAGAUGAGGAAAACCCCACAGAUUUCACAAGCAUCUCUACAAGACUUCCUGUUUUCCACUUCUCCAUUUGUCAGACUCAGACCAUUAACUGUGGUUCAGUUUUGGUCCAAAGCUUUCUAUCGGACUCCUCUGCUAGCCAAGGAGUACAGUCUUAUCUGAAUCCCAGAGGCACAUGCCCUGAGUAUCCCACCACUUGAAGAUUGCUAGUGAGGUCAGAGGUGAUAUUAGCAAAUGUGAUUUUCCAAUACUGAACCAUGAAAUAUGUCACCGUUUGCAAAAUAAGUGCAGCACAGGUAACCGAUAUUUCCAGGUGAUCAAUUCAUGAUGUAAAAUUCCAUCAAAGAAUAAGACGGAUCAAUGGAUUUUAAUGUAACAGCAUAUUAAAAGGUUUCCAAGCUGUAACUCAAUUUAAGAAACUACCAUUUGUUGAAUGUUGCUAUAAUUUCCAUGAAAGCCCACACUUAGCAGAAUGCAAUCAAAGCAAAUAUCCCUCACUUUUCUACCUCCUUGACUGCGUGAGGCCAUGUUGGAUUCGUAUACUCAUAUAAAACAAUAUGACAACAGACUAUCUAAACACCUCUAUAGCCACUGAGCUAAUUUCUAUUAAGAAAGACACUAAAGGGAUUUUUGAAAUUGGAAAACUCAGCAUCCUGGGCAUUGUGGUGUGCACACCUACAUGGCAGCAGCCAGCACUUGGGGAAUGAAGGCAAAAGGUACAAGGCCAGCCUUGGGCUAAUAAGGAGAGUUCAACUCUGGCCUAGGUCAUAUAAUACCUUGUCUCAAAACAAACAAAAGAUCAAAAAAAGUAAAAUCAGGUUGCUGUUCUUGCUAAUUUUGUUUUGAAAACAAACAAAAAAAUUAAUCUUGUAUUCACAUGUAAUUUGUUAUUAUAUUUGAAUAAAGUAAUAUAUAGUAAAGU
ensembl:lincRNA 2900052N01Rik RIKEN cDNA 2900052N01 gene